UACAGAGGGUGCAAGCGUUGUUCGGAAUUAUUGGGCGUAAAGGGUGCGUAGGCGGUGCGGUAAGUUUGUGGUGAAAUCUUCAGGCUCAACUUGAAGACUGCCGCGAAGACUGCCGUGCUGGAGUAUGGGAGAGGUGAGUGGAAUUCCGAGUGUAGAGGUGAAAUUCGUAGAUAUUCGGAAGAACACCAGUGGCGAAGGCGACUUACUGGACACAUAUUGACGCUGAGGUGCGAAAGCGUGGAGAGCAAACAGG
rnacentral:rRNA from 1 species